UUUCCAUCCGUUUUCAUCACUAGGUACGAGUGCCACACUGCCACGCCAAUGUUUCAAAAACCACUAUUUUAUUCUAUUGUUUGAAACCUCCACUAUAUGUAUUCAGAAGAAGAAAAAGAGAACCUUAUGAUCUGUGGAUUAUAUUAAGUAAUGUCUGAUGUUUAGCUAUAAUAAUCUAAUAAUGUAAUUAAGCUUGUCCCGCAGCAAGAUCGACACCGAAAAGCUAAAGAGACAAAUAGUAUCAUCAUCCGUCAGUCGUCGUCAUCGCCGGCGGCCGGCGGAGACAUGACGAUGGGUCGAAAGACCGUACCUGCUGCACAAACUUAUCUCCGACGCCUUUUUCCUUGUCUGUGCGCGCUGUCUCGCAGCAUCGGCAGCGGCUUUAUACGGGCGCACGAGUGCCCUAUCCUAUCUGCAGAAUCAGGUACGUAGAAAAGGAAGACGACGAUGACCCCUCCGGCCCUCCGAUCCCUGGUCCCUGCCC
rnacentral:lncRNA from 7 species